CCUGCCGUGGCCAGCGCCUUCCGGAGCCUCCUGCUGCUCCUGCUCGCUGCGCCACGUGUCCUACCUGAGCCUGGUCCGCUUCGACUACGGCUACAACAUGGUGGCGAACGUGGCCCUUGGCCUGGCGAACGUGGCGUGGUGGCUGGGCUGGUGCCUGCGGAAUGGCCGGCGGCUGCCGCACGCCGCAAGUGCGCGGCCGUGGUCCUGCUGCUGCAGGGGCUGUACCGCUGCUCGAGCUGCUCGACUUCCCGCCCCUCUUCUGGGUCCUGGAUGCCCACGCCAUCUGGCAUAUCAGCACCAUCCCCCUGCACGUCCUCUUUUUCAGCUUCCUGGAGGACGACAGCCUGUACCUGCUGAGGGGAGACCGAGGCCAAAUCCAAGCUGCACUGAGGACCCUGGUGGCUGCCGCCCACUCCCCGGGAUGAUGGAUUUUAGCCGUUUAGCUUUUUUAUUUUUUGAGACAGGGUCUUGCUAUGUCGUCCAGGCUGGCCUUGAACUUACAGCAAACCUCCUGCCUCAGCCUCCUGAGCCCUUUAGCUUCCUGAACUCGGACUUGAGGGGUGUGGGCCCACUCACGCAGCCGCCCACCUCUCACUGUUCGCACGGACGAUGGCCUCCCUGUCAUGGGCCAGGGCAGCUGCGCUGUGCAGGACAGGAGAGCAGGAAGCGCUGUCUCUGCUCCCCCAGCCAGGCCCUCUCCUGGUGACCUGGCACCCAGGUCCCGAAGGUGGGGCCUCCUUCUGCUGCCCCGCCCUCCCGCAAGGCGCCACCAGGUGGCGCUAGAUGCCUGCGCUGCACCCAUUUUGAGGGCCAGUUUCUCCCCCAUGGGGUCGCAGGGAACGCGCAGUUGGGCCUGGGGCGGGGCCUGGGGAGGUGUUGC
rnacentral:lncRNA from 1 species